rnacentral:rRNA from 1 species
GAUGAACGCUGGCGGCGUGCUUAACACAUGCAAGUCGAACGCUGAAGCUCAGCUUUUGUUGGGUGGAUGAGUGGCGAACGGGUGAGUAACACGUGAGUAACCUGCCCCCUUCUUUGGGAUAACGCCCGGAAACGGGUGCUAAUACUGGAUAUUCACUGGUCUUCGCAUGGGGGUUGGUGGAAAGGGUUUUUCUGGUGGGGGAUGGGCUCGCGGCCUAUCGGCUUGUUGGUGGGGUGAUGGCCUACCAAGGCUUUGACGGGUAGCCGGCCUGAGAGGGUGACCGGUCACAUUGGGACUGAGAUACGGCCCAGACUCCUACGGGAGGCAGCAGUGGGGAAUAUUGCACAAUGGGCGCAAGCCUGAUGCAGCGACGCCGCGUGAGGGAUGGAGGCCUUCGGGUUGUGAACCUCUUUCGCUCAUGGUCAAGCCGCAACAAUGGUUGUGGUGAGGGUAGUGGGUAAAGAAGCGCCGGCUAACUACGUG